rnacentral:lncRNA from 1 species
AGAGCCAGUUCUCUUCAGGAGCAUGCCAGGCUGAAGCUUUGUCCUAUGGAGAAGCAGAAAAGGUCAGAGGAGGAGAAAGAAAGAGCCCUUCCCGGUCAAGGAGCCAGCCAGGGAGGGAGACAAAAGGAAGGAGGCUCCAUGGAGGGUGAAGUCCCAUGACCAGGUCGGAGCAGUGAGCUGUGAUCACUUAUAGCGUCAUUUCCAGGCCCAAGCAUACAACAGUUCCAACCGUCGCUUCUCCCUUGGGAUGAAUUGUGAAGCCCGGGUCCUUGAAAGGCUUAGGGAUGCAAUGUGAUUAGCUGGCCUUCUGCUCUGACCACCGUGACUUCCCUGCCUGAAACCAUGUCUUCCCCUCCAUGAUACAAGUCACAAGAUGAAAUAAAUCCUUCCUUCCCUAAAAUGGGUAUUUUUGUCUCAUCAACAAGAAAGUUAACUUAUGUAAAGCUGGCUCUAGGGAAGUCAUUAGGAUUUGAUGAGGUCAUGAGACUAAGGUCCUGGUGAUGGUAGUAGUGGCUUUUGUAGAAGGAAAGGAGGAGGAGAAGGAGAAGGAAGAAGAGGAGGAGGAGGAGGAAAAGGAAGAGGAAAAGGAAGAGGAGGAGGAAGAGGAGGAGGAGGAGGAAAAGGAAGAGGAGGAGGAAGAGGAGGAGGAAGAGGAGGAGGAUCCAUGCUGUCUCACCACAUUGCCCCCUGGUUAUACUAUGAUGUUUCAGAUGAGUCUUCAUCAGAUGCCAGGCAGAGCUGGCACCAUGCUUGGGCUUUCAGCCUCCAGAAAAAUAGCAAAAGAAAUUUCUAUUCUGUUCUCUUUUCCAGAAAAACAAGCAACAACAAUAAAACCCCACAUUUGUUCUAAAGCAAUGAUAGAUAAAGAGAAACCUCUUCUUUUCAUAAUGACAACAGAUAAACACAGAAAGAAUAUGGAGUUCUUUUAAAAAAUAAAAUCACAAAUUUGCCAACAUUCUAAUAAAAGUUAUUAAGAUACAGGAUCAUCAAAUGAUACUAAAUCUAGGAAGGGCAGGUGUGAGGAGCUACAGAAUUGUCAAGACAAUAUCAGCAUUUCUUAUAAAACAGUAACUGGGAGAAAUAGUAACUAGACAAUGCAGAAAAUAGACAACCUCUUUUCUGUGUGAUGGAAAUUAACACCAAUAACAAGGACUAUUCUGCUCAUCUGAGCUUGGUACCCAGGGUUGCAUCACUUAAUAGUAUUCUCACCCACACCACACAAUCCAAAUCUACCCACGAGGAAACAUCAGGAAACUCCAGUGAAGCUGAUCGUCUUCAAAGACAUCAAUACAACAAAAGACUGGAAAGGGCAGAGGAAUGGCUCCAGAUCAGCAUCAUGACAGCACAAUCUACAAUCCCAGACUGGAUCCCGCCUCUGAGAAAUUACCAGCAGAGCAAAUGAAAUCGGAAUAGAGACUGCAGAUCAGAUGAAAGUCCCGUCUGAAUGGGAGACUGCAGGAUUUAUAUGCUUCAGUGAGACUGUGUGCUUGCUCUUGUGAAGUGCGUGUAUAGUAUUAAAGUGUGGAGGGCUGGGUAUCUGUACUAUCUCUCAAAUGAGUUAUAUAGAAAGGUUAUAUAUCAAGGAAUAGAAAGUUAUAAAGCAAACACAGGAAUCAUCAUCAAAAAAAAAAGAAGAUAACAUGUGUAGCAAUGAAUGUUUUCUUUUCUUUAAUUUUCUCCCAAACAAGCAUAUCCACACUGACAUGUAAGUGUGUAUUUCUGGAGUACAAAAACUUUCAGUACUACCCAAAUCCUCCAUGUAAGGCAAGCAGUGAAAAUAUUCCUUAGGGGUUGGUUGUCAACAUGUGUAUAAAGGGCUAUGUCUUUCCCAGGAAGCAUAGUACUACAGCUUCCAUAUAUUUUUUUAUAUGUAUGCACAAACUUCUGCACUCACGUGUAAUUGUUUCCUUUUGAUGGUGAUAGUCUCUAAGUUUUUGUCAUUUCCAUGUUUGCUUUGCUAAAGCUUGUGCUUGGCUUCAAUGCGGAGAUCAUAUUUUCUCUUCAUACCUUCUCUCUGGAGCAGUGUCUGAAAUGUGUGUUCUCAGCUAGCAGACUCAGUUUGUGAGUCAUAGCAUUAACAUAAUGUGAUGGUUGUUUCCUGCAGUGCAGUACCAAUGAAGACCUGCAUAGGAGGGCCUGAGUCUGCUCAUUGGACCAACUUGUGAGAGGAAAGUAUUCAGGUAUGUCUGUAAAAUGAGAGGCAUACAGGUUUAAGUCCUAGGUUGACCUAAAGUUAAUCAACCCAACUUUUAAUGGGUCUGUGAUACUCUGAUUGGGUUCAAUUGUAAAUUCCUCAUUAAACUUCUAUUCCUUAUAAGUCA